AUUGAACGCUGGCGGCAUGCUUUACACAUGCAAGUCGAACGGUAACAGGCCUUCGGGUGCUGACGAGUGGCGAACGGGUGAGUAAUGCAUCGGAACGUGCCCAGAGGUGGGGGAUAACGCAGCGAAAGCUGUGCUAAUACCGCAUGUGAUCUGAGGAUGAAAGCGGGGGACCAGGCAGCAAUGUUUGGCCUCGCGCCUUUGGAGCGGCCGAUGUCAGAUUAGGUAGUUGGUGGGGUAAAGGCCUACCAAGCCGACGAUCUGUAGCUGGUCUGAGAGGACGACCAGCCACACUGGGACUGAGACACGGCCCAGACUCCUACGGGAGGCAGCAGUGGGGAAUUUUGGGCAAUGGGCGCAAGCCUGAUCCAGCAAUGCCGCGUGCGGGAAGAAGGCCUUCGGGUUGUAAAACGCUUUUGUACGGAACGAAAAGGCUCUGGCUAAUACCUGGGGCUGAUGACGGUACCGUAAGAAUAAGCACCGGCUAACUACGUG
rnacentral:rRNA from 1 species